UAUAUAUAUAUAUAUAUAAAUUCAAGUUACAUAAACUAAUUUACGGCUAGUAAUUUAAGUGCUGAUUUAAUCAAACUAUUGGGAAGGGAUCAUAAUGUCUAAACAAAACGAAAUUGGGAAUAAAAAAAACAAAGAUCUCCUUAAUCUGAAUCUACCUCUUCAAAAAACUCUAAUAGGGAAGGAAAUAGUAACAAAAAACAGAAAAUAGAUACUCCUAUUCCAGAUUUUGAUAUCAAUGAUACUCCAGCUCGCAACGACAAUCAAUAUGAACGAACGUCCAAGUAUCUGCAACGGCACCAUAGUACCAGUGCGAUGUAACUUUGUGUCAGAAAUAAUUUUAUAUUCGUGAUUUCGAAGUAUUUGGGCUAAGUAACACUUUUAAAAAGCGCAAAUCAAAGUAUAGCCUUUUUAUAUAUCUACCUCUAGAAGGAAACGGAUAAGUGAUAAACUCAAGUUGCAAUUGAUAAACGAAAGAUGAAAAAUGUCGGUCAACCGGUCGUGGAUCGGACGUACAUAUUUAUUUAUAUAUAUAUAUAUUUAAUUAAUCACAUUGAGUGUAUCUGUAACAAAUAUAUAGUAUAAAGAAAUGCGUAUUAUAAAAGUGUUUAAAACAAUUACUACAUUCAAUAAAAUCAUAAUUAUCUCUAAUAAAUAAGUUUCUUUCUUCUGAGAAAUACAUUUUUUUAGCAUUUCUAAAUUUACGUGCAGGUUUUCAACUUAUACAAAAUAACAAUAAAUAUAACAUAAAAUAAAGUUUAAUAAAAAUAGAAUAUUCCUGAAUAAUAUUGACUGUAUAAUUGCUUUUAUCGGUAAUUCAUCAUUUGAUAAUUGUAAGAAAGCAUGCUUGAAAAUGUUUUGAGAAUGUUAUUACUUUAUCAAUUUCCAGAUGUUAAUGAGUUUUUAAUUAGUUCGAUAAAAUGUACUAACAAAGGAAAUUUUAUCAACUAUUUUUAAUUAGUGAAUUACUCAGAACAGAUUAAUUAUGUACAUAGUGGUCACAUCAUUAAAUAUGAUUUUAAUAUCGA